AGAGUUUGAUCAUGGCUCAGGACGAACGCUGGCGGCGUGCCUAACACAUGCAAGUCGAGCGAUGAAACCCUUCGGGGUGGAUUAGCGGCGGACGGGUGAGUAACACGUGGGUAACCUGCCUCAAAGAGGGGAAUAGCCUCCCGAAAGGGAGAUUAAUACCGCAUAAUAUGUUUUGAUCGCAUGAUCGAAAUAUCAAAGGAUUUUCUUCGGAAAUUCCACUUUGAGAUGGACCCGCGGCGCAUUAGCUAGUUGGUGAGGUAACGGCUCACCAAGGCGACGAUGCGUAGCCGACCUGAGAGGGUGAUCGGCCACAUUGGAACUGAGACACGGGCCAGACUCCUACGGGAGGCAGCAGUGGGGAAUAUUGCGCAAUGGGGGAAACCCUGACGCAGCAACGCCGCGUGAAUGAUGAAGGCCUUCGGGUUGUAAAGUUCUGUCUUCUGGGACGAUAAUGACGGUACCAGAGGAGGAAGCCACGGCUAACUACGUGCCAGCAGCCGCGGUAAUACGUAGGUGGCAAGCGUUGUCCGGA
rnacentral:rRNA from 1 species